CCAGCACCCCGCAGAGCGAACGGAGGCCACAACUCCCAGCCACGGGCUAAAGACUACGGGCUGCAACUUCCGGUCCUCCGCGGGCCCCAUCGACCUCACUCCUAGAGUGCAAGGGAUCGGCGCGGGCCUUAUCUCCCAACAGCCCGAGCUCGGGCCACUGCACGCCAUAGUCCCAGAGCGCUGCGCGAGUGGCCGGCUGUGGCGGCUCGGGGUGCGCCCCUGCUGACAGCGUCUUUCAGCGGGAACGCCCUGGAGAGGACGAGUGGUGACCGAACAGCUACUACGGUGGGACCAAUCCGAUGUCGCCUUGGUUCCCACGCUGUCUUCCUGGGGAGCGUUAGGUCGCCCUGGCAGCGUGUGGCUCCGCGUCUGGGGCUGAGCUGAGUGCGGUUACCCAAGGCCAGGUCCUGGUUUCCGGGAGCCACUCAUUAGAAGCCUAUCCCACCUCUGCCUGUUGACAAUAUAAAUGUUCAUUUGGGUCUCCCUUGGAAGCCUCAUACAGAGGUUUAUCAAGUAGCCUGAGAUCGGCUCUCCAUAAGCAAAGAAAGCCCGCGAGCCCCAGAAAAGACAGGAUCUCGGCUUUGGAGGAAGGGAUUGGGAAGUCCCGAAUAAGCUGUUUAGGGUCCAAGUUUAAUUAUGAUGUUUCAAGUGAAGUCUUCUUUGAAAUGCUUCUGCUUGGAGUACGCUGAGCCUCUUGGAUCCAGGACACUGCCUUUAAUCAGGGAAACUCUUUGGCCAUUACUGCUUCAUAAAUUUUUUCUUCUGCUUUCUGGUUCUCCUUUCCUCCUGUUAGUUUAGUUACACAUGUUAGUUCAUUAUCAGAUGUUCUAUUGUUCUUUUUUUGUGGGGGGGAGAGGUUUGU
rnacentral:lncRNA from 1 species